GACUCAUCUCGUAUCCAUGGCGAAUCACGGAGAAUCCUCAUCUUCCGAUGCCAAGGCCGGGAAGAAGGAUUUCAGCACGGCGAUCUUGGAGCGGAAGAAGGCGGCGAAUCGGCUUGUCGUCGACGAGGCAGUCAACGAUGAUAACUCGGUGGUGACGAUCCACCCGGAGACGAUGGAGAAGCUGCAGAUCUUCCGCGGCGACACUGUUCUCCUCAAGGGGAAGAAGAGGAAGGAGACUAUUUGCAUUGCACUUGCGGACGAAGCAUGUGAGGAACCAAAGAUUAGGAUGAACAAGGUCGUCAGGUCAAACCUAAGGCUGAGGCUCGGCGAUGUGGUGUCUGUCCACCAAUGUCCGGAUGUUAAGUAUGGGAAGCGUGUGCACAUUCUGCCUCUGGACGACACCAUUGAGGGUCUCACAGGAAACCUGUUUGAUGCUUAUCUGAAGCCAUAUUUUCUGGAGGCAUACCGUCCUGUGCGCAAAGGAGAUCUUUUUCUUGUUAGAGGCGGUAUG
rnacentral:misc_RNA from 1 species